rnacentral:rRNA from 1 species
AGAGUUUGAUCCUGGCUCAGGAUGAACGCUGGCGGCGUGCUUAACACAUGCAAGUCGAACGGGAUCCAUCAAGCUUGCUUGGUGGUGAGAGUGGCGAACGGGUGAGUAAUGCGUGACCGACCUGCCCCAUACACCGGAAUAGCUCCUGGAAACGGGUGGUAAUGCCGGAUGUUCCAGUUGAUCGCAUGGUCUUCUGGGAAAGCUUUCGCGGUAUGGGAUGGGGUCGCGUCCUAUCAGCUUGACGGCGGGGUAACGGCCCACCGUGGCUUCGACGGGUAGCCGGCCUGAGAGGGCGACCGGCCACAUUGGGACUGAGAUACGGCCCAGACUCCUACGGGAGGCAGCAGUGGGGAAUAUUGCACAAUGGGCGCAAGCCUGAUGCAGCGACGCCGCGUGAGGGAUGGAGGCCUUCGGGUUGUAAACCUCUUUUAUCGGGGAGCAAGCGAGAGUGAGUUUACCCGUUGAAUAAGCACCGGCUAACUACGUGCCAGCAGCCGCGGUAAUACGUAGGUGGCAAGCGUUAUCCGGAUUUAUUGGGCGUAAAGGGAACGCAGGCGGUCUUUUAAGUCUGAUGUGAAAGCCUUCGGCUUAACCGGAGUAGUGCAUUGGAAACUGGGAGACUUGAGUGCAGAAGAGGAGAGUGGAACUCCAUGUGUAGCGGUGAAAUGCGUAGAUAUAUGGAAGAACACCAGUGGCGAAAGCGGCUCUCUGGUCUGUAACUGACGCUGAGGUUCGAAAGCGUGGGUAGCAAACAGGAUUAGAUACCCUGGUAGUCCACGCCGUAAACGAUGAAUGCUAAGUGUUGGAGGGUUUCCGCCCUUCAGUGCUGCAGCUAACGCAAUAAGCAUUCCGCCUGGGGAGUACGACCGCAAGGUUGAAACUCAAAGGAAUUGACGGGGGCCCGCACAAGCGGAGGAACAUGUGGUUUAAUUCGAUGAUACGCGAGGAACCUUACCCGGGCUUGAACUGAGGGGGAAUGAGCCAGAGAUGACUCAGUCUUCGGACUCCCUUGGAGGUGCUGCAUGGUUGUCGUCAGCUCGUGCCGUGAGGUGUCGGCUUAAGUGCCAUAACGAGCGCAACCCUCAUCCUCGUUUGCCAUCAGGUAAUGCUGGGCACUCCGGGGAUACUGCCAUCGUAAGAUGUGAGGAAGGUGGGGAUGACGUCA